rnacentral:rRNA from 1 species
GACGAAGGGGGCUAGCGUUGUUCGGAAUUACUGGGCGUAAAGGGCGCGUAGGCGGUUUAGUAAGUUGGAAGUGAAAUCCCGGGGCUUAACCUCGGAACUGCUUUCAAAACUACUAAGCUAGAGUAUAGUAGGGGAUGAUGGAAUUCCUAGUGUAGAGGUGGAAUUCUUAGAUAUUAGGAGGAACACCGGUGGCGAAAGCGGCAUCCUGGACUGGUCCUGACACUCAGGAGCGAAAGCGUGGGGAGCGAUCCGG